rnacentral:lncRNA from 1 species
CGUCACCAGGGAAGGUCUCAAGUUCCUUCUGCUUUGCCAACUGGCGGGGCACUGAAAUGUCGGUGCCUACGAACACCAUGGUGCCCAGGAAGAGAAGGAGGAUUCUGCUUCUUUUCUCCUCUCCCCUGUCCACCACAUCAACCCACACCCAAUCCAGAGAGACGACAAUCAAAACCACAGUUGAUGGGAAGACUGAAAAUCCCAGACCUAUGCCUGUACCGGGGAGUCGAACAAAGAUUUAAAUACAGGAAAAAAUACAAGUCAGGCCUGAGACUGGAGACGGUGGGGUGUUUCUCCUACUGCUCCAAGAACCAGUGAGUGCUUUUUUUGUGUUUAAACAACAGCAAGGAGAAUUAAAAAAAAAAAAAAGAUUUUUUUAAAUGAUUCAUUAAAAUAGGUGUUUGUGGCCCAGUUGGCUGGGAGCAGCUGGGUAACAGAGAAGGCUCCCGCUCUGAGAAUGGCAGCCCAAGAUCAUCCUCUCUCACCACUCCGCUGAAAUGAUAGCCUCAAGCAAGUCAAAAAUAGCCUGAAUCCUUUACAGAAUUCUUUCCAGACCAAAAUAAAAAUGGCAGAAAGGACCCUCCAAAAAUACCCAGUACCGGAGAGCCAGGGUGUAUUUCAGCUCAGCUGAUUCAUUCUUACCCUGCUUGCAAUUCUCUGCCCUUCAAAGGAGAAGAGCAAGUCCUGGCAGAGGCCUUCAGCCAAGGGCCUCUCCCCCAGUAUUGGUUUUGUACUUGCUCGGUGUGCUGUUGACUUUUGCAGCUCUGUACGAUUAUGGGAAACAAGGAUAAUAUUUGCCCUCAGAGCCAGGAAAGAACAAAUAUUUUAUCAACAUCUAAAUCAUCUUUCAUCUAGCAGGGGAGGAGGCGCUGAAUGCCCAGCUGCACACACGUAAGCUGAUGAGGGGCAGGAAAGGGGCUGCUUGGGGAAUCUUCUACCUGUGUAAACUUGACCUAUCAAUACCGGGACCACAUCCACUGCAAAGGGCUUCCUCUGUGAAAUCUAAAAUAUGUCUGCCCUUCCAGGUACCUCCCACAUCCCCACCACUACCCCCUCAGCCCAGAAUAACUGCCAAAGUUCUACCAUGGUGCCUUUCUCAUUUCCAAAGGUACAAGUCAGGCCUGGGACUUGGGAAGGUGGGGUGUUUCUGUGGAUAUUUGGGGGGAAAUGAGGGCUUGCCCUGUUGUUAUGUUUGUUUCCAUUCAUGGAUCCUCCACCACUAGCCCAGAAAUGACAGUAGGUGGAAACACUAUCUUUCAUUACACAAAGUAUAAAUAGUGUAAUCUAUCAGCGCCGUCAAUCACAAUGAUUGAUUACAGGCUGUCAUAGAGAAGAGUGACAUAUUAGAAAAGUUUUGUUAACAAUGCCUAUUGCUAGUCAGCCUGCCACAGAGGUUGGUGAUUAAUGUGUUGUCAGCCUGUAAUCCCACACCCUUGGCUAAUGAGGCAGGAAUUUAUCAUCUUUACAGAGUGGCAGAUGUCAGGGAGAAAGGAAUCCAAGUGCUGGAAACAAUAUACUUUUUCUUACUAGGCCUGACAAGUCUGACAGGCCGAAAAAAACCACAAAGCAGCUUUGUAUAAGCACCAACUUAAAACGAGGAACUUUUCAUUUGGCAUCUUCGCUUUAAAUAGUGCUGCAAACCAGCCUCUAUCCCUUUGGAAGAAAGAAAAAAAAAGGACACAGAGAGAGGAGGGCACAAUGCUGAGCUCUGUGAACUCUGCACCUCAUUUUGACAGCCAGAGACCCCGAGAAAAGGUUACUGUGGCAAGCAGACAGCUUUCUUUGGAAGAGAAGCCCACAGGAACUUUUCACUUUUACCUGUGAACUUGUGACUGGGAGAAAAUGUGGCAUUCAAGGGGGCUGGGGAUAGCUGCUUCCCCUGCCACUGCCUCAGGCUGGCGUUUACCUGCAGACAUGGAUUGAUUUCUAGAAAUACUACCCUUAAUAUUGGGGAUGAGAAAUGGCGAGAGAGAGGGAGGGAGGGUGCUUCCCACUGGUCAAGAAAGAGCAACACAGAGGGGAGGGAGGGCCCUAGAAAAUGACUUUCACCAAAGCUCUGCUUAUUUUAAGCCACAUUCAGAUAGAGUCUCACGGUCUUUCUUCCCAACCAUCUCUUUGAUUUUUCAUAGUGGACAAGGACUAAAAUCUCUCCAAGCCUAAGAAAAUUCAAGCCCAGACAAGGAGAAGCCUCCAGAGGCCCUUUUAAGAGCUGCUUGUCCCUGGACACUCCCUCCUCUCAACUGCAGUUCCCAUCCUUCCCAUAAUUCUAACAACAGAGAAGACCUUGGGGGUGAAUCUGGCAUCUUCUGAGACACUAGAAGAUGACUAUGAAUAUUUCAACUUGAUCUAGGCUGUCCAUUCGGUUCCAAAGAACUCAAGCACUCCACACCACAGGAGACACUCAACUUUUCCUAAGAACUAUCAAAGAAACUGCCAACUAGAAGAUUCAAACUCUUUUUUUUUUCACUACCCAUGCAUUCUGCCUAUACUCCAGUUAGCAAGAGAAAGUCAAAGGGGAAAGGCUUCAGUUAAGGAGGUUAAGUCCUCUGGUUUGGAAACUUCUCCAUACCAGCACCCUGCCAAGAUGGUAAUGUGUUGCUUAUUCUCAUGUCAGUUUCCAAGGAUGGGGGCAAAUCUUAAGUGGCAACAUUCUGACAGAUGUAAUCCUUUUUCAAACACAUACCUCCGCUAAUGUAGACAAAUGCAAUGCAAAAAAAAUGGAAACAGCAACCAGAGGAGAAAAACUCUGCCUUCUGUCAACAGCACCCUCAGGCAAAAACACACAGCAAAGCAUUAAGUAAUUUAAUCUCCAAAAGGGAGCCUUCUGGCAUUAAGGCUACUCCGAAGUCCAAGGGGCCAGGCCACACCCUGUGCAAUGAGCAAUGGGCUUAGUGGCCAGGAACCCACAAGCUCAGAUGGAAAGCCAGGGAAAUACCCAGGGCCCAGUGGGUCUUCCCCAGAGCCAAGGCGCUGAAUGCUGCUGACCUGGGGGAUGCCUUCCCUGCAUGGGCCUCAGGUCAGAGGCUGGACAGUUGGAGGCUCUGGGUGGAAGUGCCCCUCCUUCCAUGGCUCUUUGGGAGAUCAGCACAAGAAGCAAGCUGAACCCUGAUGCUAAUCAGGCAGCUUUGAGUGAAGGGUGACGAGGGCCGGCGCCGACUCCACUCUGCCCGCCCAGGCCGCCAUCCUGGCCACAGAUCUCACUUAGCGAUAAGCAGGGGACUGCGCAGGCUCCCUACUACUCUUAUCUUGCAUGCACUGAUGUGCUCAGGAAGAGGGGACCAGGGAACCCUGCUCCCAGAGCCUUAUGGCAGAAGCCGGGGUGCUUUGCCGGGCUCCCUACACCCCCUACUCACCGCUGCAAGGAGACAGAGCCCUCCUUCGCCAGCUCCUCCAAGUCUGCCAACCCCCGCCUCCCUCGGCGUGCUCCCUCAUGCAGCUUUCAUUAACUCCCUCGGCCGGCAAUUUCCAUCCAUUUGACGACAGAUUAGAAGUGGAAUUCAAAAAGAAAGUCACUUGACCUCCCAUAAUGUGCUUCUCUUAAUUACAUUAAAGAUUUUCAAAUGUAGCCAUACUGGGUUUGACAGGUAAGGUUUUAAUCAACUUCAGGUGGCCACUUUUAAGUGCUCCCUGGACUGGAGCCGCAAAGUUGGCGUCACCCACGCUCCCAACGUGGUUCUAAUUUAAAUGGCUAAUUUUGACACGGAGAAAAGAUGAGAGGCCACGGGGCCCCACUGCUUCGGUGGGCGUGAUUUCUAAAUUAGGAUUAAUGCAGCAAGCUGAAGCAUGGUCGCAGGUUUAUUUUAUGGAGGUUGGAGCAAGUAAAUAACAUUUAUCCUUUGUAUACAUCUGCAUAUAAUUACAGCAAAGUUUUCUUGUGUGUUAAAUUAUACAAACUCUUCAAAAGUGGGUGCCUAAUGUCUUUUUCUAAAGCUGUGUUAUUAUUUUGGUCAAAAGUUGUUUACAUUAAACAAAUUCAAUUUACUAAACUUUGACAUGUUUGCACAACUGCAUAUAAUUUAUGCUGGAAGCCUGAAGCAUGACUUUCAAGUGAACUUUCUUGGUUCAAACUUGAUAGAUUAGGCAUUCAAUGUUGAGGGGUGGUGGCUUGCUCCAUCCAGGUUUUGUGGCCAAUUGAACUGAUUUGGUUUUCCUCUCUCAGAAUAUUUUAAUCAUUGGGUAAAUGUGUAUCGAGUAUCCACUGUGGUCCAAAUAUUAAUGCUGGGUCCUGAGGAUAUAAUGGUGUGCAAAAAAAGAUACAGUCCCAGGCUCAAGGAGUUCAAGGAUUAUUUAAGGAAACAGAGAAGCAAAAUAACUUGUGAAGACAGUCUUUAAAUCGCAAAGACAACAAGAAAGUAGCAUCCAUGCUGCUUUGAGGAUUCAUAAACUAGCAGGAUCUGUCUGAGCUUGGGGGAAUGCUGGCCCAGGGAAGUGAUAGCAUGAGCUGAGAACGGGAAAGACAAAGACAAAGUAAAAGGUUAACUUUGGUGGGAUGGAGAAUGUUACCUAGAAGGGACCAAAAAGGUAAGUGGGAGUCUGCAACAGGUACCCUUGUCUGUGAGGUAGCUGGAAAGGGGGUAGUAGGGCCAGGCUCCCCCCCAGGGCAUAGCUUAUUUUAGGAAUACUGUCUUUAUCCAAAUAGCAGGACUAAGUGCAAGGUUUGAAGCAGGGAGCUCAACUUUUUGUUUGUAUUUUGCAAAGAUCUAUUGAAGGGCAGAGUAGAUGGCAGGUCUGAUGGAGUUGGGCUAGUUCAGAGGCUUUAUAGUAAUUUAGAAUUUUUUUUUAUCUGCCCAUAGCUUUUAUUUUAUUUUUUAAUUGAUUUUUUAAAAAAAUAAAUGACAGCGGAAUACAUUACAAUUCUUAUUACACAUAUACGGCACAAUUUUUCAUAUCUCUGUUUAUAUAUAAAGUAUGUUGACGCCAAAUUGUGUCUUCAUACGAGUACUUUGGAUAAUGAUGUCCAUCACAUUCCACCAUCUUUGCUAACCCCCUGCCCCCUCUCUUUCCCUCCCACCCCUCUGCCCUAUCUAGAAACAAAACCCACCCUCCUGAAGUGGUUUGACCUAGGGUGAUGGUAGUACAGAAUGACAGUGGAUAGCUUUGAGGGAUGGUGAGGGGGUGAUGUUGAUGGGAUGUUGAGACAGACUGGUCGACUCCGGUUUCUGACUUGUAAAGCUAUAGGGACCUAGAACCAUCCACUGAGAGCUCAGAGUCUGUUAUGGUUUAGAUGUGAGGUGUGCCCCAGAAAGCUCACAUGUGAGACAAUGCAAGAAGAUCUGGAGGAGAAAUGAUUGGGUUAUAUCCUUAGCAUAAUCAGUGAGCUAAUCCCUGAUAACUGAAGUGGUAGGGUGUGACUGGAGGAGGUGGCAAUUGGGGCGUGGCUUUGGUGUAUAUAUUUGUAUCUGGCAAGUGGAGUCUCUGCUUCCUGAUCACAGUGUUGUGAGCUGCUUCCCUCUGCUCUGCCAUCUUGUCCCGCUAUGGUGUUCAGCCUCAUCUUGAGCCCUGAGAAAACUGUGAGCCCUCAAAUAAACUCUUCCUCCUCUAUAA